rnacentral:rRNA from 1 species
CAAUAGCGUAUAUUUAAGUUGUUGCAGUUAAAAAGCUCGUAGUUGGAUUUUGGGUCGGGGGCACCGGUCCGCCGUUCCGGUGUGCACUGGUGGCCCCUUCCUUUCUGCCGGGGACGUGCGUCGCACUUAAUUGGGUGGCGUUCGGAGUCGGCGUUGUUACUUUGAAAAAAUUAGAGUGUUCAAAGCAAGCCAUCGCUCUGAAUACAUUAGCAUGGAAUAACAUGAUAGGACUCCGGUCUUAUUUUGUUGGUUUCCGAGACUGGAGUAAUGAUUAAGAGGGACAGUCGGGGGCAUCCGUAUUUCAGUGUCAGAGGUGAAAUUCUUGGAUUUAUGAAAGACGAACUUCUGCGAAAGCAUUUGCCAAGGAUGUUUUCAUUA